CAUCCCAUUCAGAAGGAUCCUCUGGAGUGGAAGACUUCUCAAAGAGAAAAUAGCGGCUCCUCUGGGCGGGCGGUUGCGGCAUUGUGGGACGUGGGCUAUGCUCGGGGACUCCUCGAAGGCCCUGUGCUCCUGCCCUGUCCGUCACUGCCGUGCACCAACACUGAGCGUCCGAGCCAUGGCUGUGCUCUUAUAAGGUGGAGCCCUGGGGUGUCACGAAGUGACGUCACAAUGGGUGCCCACCCAGCCCAGGCACGUGCCACAGUGGCACCCAUUGUGACGUCACUUGGUGACACGCCAGGGCUCCGCCUUAUAAGAGCGCAGCCGUGGCUCGGACCCUCAGUGUCGGUGCACGGCAGCGACGGAUAUGGAAGGAGCACAGGAGCCUCAAGGAGACCCUGAGCGCAGUCCAAGUCCCACAAUGCCGCAACCACCCACCCAGACGAGCCGCCCUUUUAACCUUGCGAGCUCUCCCACUUCAGAGGCUGCUUCUGAAUGGGAUGAGGAGGGAGGCAUGCCCCCCAGGCAGCCCAGGCUGGCCUGGCAGGAGACCUGGUCUUCUAGGGGCAGCAACCAGCCAGCAGAGGACAGCUUGCUGGCAGAGGACAAAACCCCAGUCAAGGCCAUUUUGCCGGUAGAGGACAGCAGCCUGGCAGAGGCCAUUUCUCAGGAAGUGGGCAGCAGCCCGGCACAGGACAGGAGACCGGUAGAGGACAGCUUAGUGGUUGAGGACAGCGGUUCGACACAGGAUAGCAAGAAGAAGUCGCAGCUGCUGGAUUCCAGUAAUAUAUGGAAACUGCGCAGAAACUCGGCUGUGCAAUCUAUCAGGGCAUAUGUCAGACGGAAAGAAAAGGUAAUGGCAGCUACUUGCAUCGCAGCAGUGCUCCUGGAGCUGCCCUCCAGGGGUCCCACACAGCCCCAGACCCCUCAAGGCUUUGGUCCUGAUGGCCGUGGGUGUCCCCCUAAUGCUCUGUUGGUGUCUUUGUGGCUGCCAGGGCAACGAGGAGCAGAAGAUAGUUUUCCUCAUCGAAAUCUGCGAUCUGUGCAGAUGUGUCACCGAGAAGGGUGUGCCGAUGAACUUGCAUGGCUUCUGCAGCAAACAUAAGCUGGUGGAGCACAUCAUGGUGAGAGGAUGUGCAGCGGGUUGGGGAAGGGGCAAGGCCCCCCGGCACCAGCCCCCUGGGAGGCGAGGGCUGGGGCAGCGCUGGCUCUGCUGCUGCUGGGUGCCGGCGGCUCCAAGGUCUCAUCCUGCUUGUGCUCUGCAGGCGCUGAUGGAAAAGGAGCCCGUGGACAGCUUGCGCACAGAAUUCUGGCAGAUCGCCAUGGAGACUGUCGCCCUCCUCAGG
rnacentral:lncRNA from 1 species